UGCAUAUUCUGGAGAGGUAUAUUUCACUGCUGAAAUACCUAUGUGGUCAUUGGCAAACUUAUGCUGCUGGUGUCUCCAAGAUAUGAAUAGUGUCAAAUGGACUUCUGAUUCGGUUGGGAGUGGUUCUUGUUACGUAAGCUCUCCAAAAAGUCACCUCCUAUUUCUGUUGGUACUUCACUGGAAAAUUCUCCAACAGCCUGGACAAGUUUCCACCCAUCGUGGCAUCAUUCACCAUUUUAAAGCUCAAUACAGAAGAGUCACCUGUUUAUAAGCAGUGCCCACAUGAUGUGACUAUUGGCAUCACUGCAGUAAGAAUGCUGUAUAUUCAUACAGAAAACACUUGGGAGAGAGGAAGAUAGCUUAUAUUAGUGUAUUAACCAUAUGGAAAACCUUCCAGCUCAGGGCACCACACACAACCUUC